UUGACCUCGGAUCAGGUAGGGAUACCCGCUGAACUUAAGCAUAUCAAUAAGCGGAGGAAAAGAAACCAACAGGGAUUACCUCAGUAACGGCGAGUGAAGCGGUAACAGCUCAAAUUUGAAAUCUGGCUCUUUCAGGGUCCGAGUUGUAAUUUGUAGAAGAUGCUUUGGGUGUGGCUCCGGUCUAAGUUCCUUGGAACAGGACGUCAUAGAGGGUGAGAAUCCCGUAUGUGACUGGCUGCCUUCGCCU
rnacentral:rRNA from 1 species